rnacentral:lncRNA from 1 species
UGGAAGUCUUUAAGAAAAUCCACAUCAACAUUCCCUUUGCAGAAGCUUUGGCCCAAAUGCCUAACUACGCCAAAUUCUUGAAGGAAGUGAUGUCAAAUAAGAAGAAGCUGGAGGAGUUCGAGACAAUUAAGCUGACAGAGGGGUGUAGUGACAUACUUCAGAAGCUUCCUCACAAAUUGAAAGAUCCGGAUAGCUUCAACAUCCCGUGCAAUAUUGGUGUUAUCACAUUUGAUAGGGCAUUGUGCAACCUUGGAGCUAGUAUAAACCUGAUGCCCUAUCAGUGUUUAAAAAGCUGGGUCUUAGAGAAGUGAAGCCCACAACCCUCACUUUGCAACUGGUUGACAGAUCGAUCACAUAUCCCAAAGGCAUGAUUGAAAAUGUAUUGGUGAAGGUCGAUAAGUUCAUCCUUCCUAUGGACUUUGUGGUGUAGGACAUGGAGGAGAACGAGAAAAUACCGUUGAUUCUUGGUCGACCUUUCCUAGCUACUGGAAGAGCAUUGAUUGAUGUCCAGGAAGGAAAAUUGACACUGCGGGUUAAUGAAGAGCAUGUGACUUUCAACAUCCAUCAAGUAGAAAAGCCUCAAGAAAAAAGUCAACAUUUGCAAUAUGGCCCAAUCGGCUGAAGCAGUUUUAGGUCAUAGAGAAAAAAAAAAAAAAGUGUUCUAUGACCCUUUAGAACAAUAUAUGGCUCUCAAUUACUUAGUAAGGGAUGCAUCUACCGAUGGCAAAUACUCAGGAGCCGAAGUAGUGGAUUUCAUAUUCACCCAAGAAGCUGAUCCACCUGACAAAAAAGAAGGCUAUGUGGCUAGGCCUUUGAAACCCCCAAACAUUGUCAAACUAAAAGAGGUUUUGAAGGCUACAUCGAGGUUCAAACCGCCUGAUUUUAUUGACCAUGCUACGAUGAAGGAGAAUGCAAAGCCGAGGGUAAAAUUCAGAAACAAGAAAGAUGCUCC